rnacentral:rRNA from 1 species
UACGUAGGGUGCGAGCGUUAAUCGGAAUUACUGGGCGUAAAGGGCUCGUAGGUGGCCAACUAAGUCAGACGUGAAAUCCCUCGGCUUAACCGGGGAACUGCGUCUGAUACUGGAUGGCUUGAGUUCGGGAGAGGGAUGCGGAAUUCCAGGUGUAGCGGUGAAAUGCGUAGAUAUCGAGAGGAACACCUGCGGCGAAGGCGGGUUGCUGGGCCGACACUGACGCUGAUGCGCGAAAGCCAGGGGAGCGAACGGG